rnacentral:rRNA from 1 species
AUUGAACGCUGGCGGCAUGCCUUACACAUGCAAGUCGAACGGCAGCGGGGACUUCGGUCCGCCGGCGAGUGGCGAACGGGUGAGUAAUGUAUCGGAACGUACCAUUCAGUGGGGGAUAACUAUCCGAAAGGAUAGCUAAUACCGCAUAUUCUGUGAGCAGGAAAGCAGGGGAUCGCAAGACCUUGCGCUGAUUGAGCGGCCGAUAUCAGGAUUAGCUAGUUGGUGAGGUAACGGCUCACCAAGGCUACGAUCUGUAGCGGGUCUGAGAGGAUGGUCCGCGACACGGGGGAUGAGGCACGGCCCGGACUCCUACGGGAGGCAGCAGUGGGGAAUUUUGGACAAUGGGCGCAAGCCGGAUCCAGCCAUGCCGCGUGAGUGAAGAAGGCCUUCGGGUUGUAAAGCUCUUUCGGCCGGGAAGAAAUCGCAUCAGCUAAUACCUGGUGUGGAUGACGGUACCGGAAUAAGAAGCACCGGCUAACUACGUGCCAGCAGCCGCCGUAACAC